rnacentral:rRNA from 1 species
GAUGAACGCUGGCGGCGUGCCUAAUACAUGCAAGUCGAGCGAACGGACGAGAAGCUUGCUUCUCUGAUGUUAGCGGCGGACGGGUGAGUAACACGUGGAUAACCUACCUAUAAGACUGGGAUAACUUCGGGAAACCGUAGCUAAUACCGGAUAAUAUAUUGAACCGCAUGGUUCAAUAGUGAAAGACGGUCUUGCUGUCACUUAUAGAUGGAUCCGCGCUGCAUUAGCUAGUUGGUAAGGUAACGGCUUACCAAGGCAACGAUGCAUAGCCGACCUGAGAGGGGGAUCGGCCACACUGGAACUGGGACAGGGUCCAGACUCCUACGGGAGGCAGCAGUAGGGAAUCUUCCGCAAUGGGCGAAAGCCUGACGGAGCAACGCCGCGUGAGUGAUGAAGGUCUUCGGAUCGUAAAACUCUGUUAUUAGGGAAGAACAUAUGUGUAAGUAACUGUGCACAUCUUGACGGUACCUAAUCAGAAAGCCACGGCUAACUACGU